ensembl:processed_transcript Gm13187 predicted gene 13187
AUAGAAAAUAGAAUCGUAUCUGCAGCCGCAGGAAGCUCCCCUAUUGCCCAGGAAAAACAUCAGUAGCAACAUCAGUAGCAGUCUUAACGAGCACAAUGAAACCAGCAUCUCUAGUCUGUAGCAACUGCUUAAUGAAAACAAACAGCGACUACAGCCACGUAGCUUACCCUCUCCACGCUGCGCCUUCUCAGAGAUCCAUAAGUUGUGUGAAGCAGCGCCUUCAGCUUCCUUCUGGCUGUCCCUGCAGCUCUGGCUCAGCGUGACCUGCUGCCCCAGGAGUGGGUACGUGGUGCUUGUGAGGAGAAUGAUCCAGAAAUGUCAACUUGGCUUCUCCGGGCUUCGGAUGGCAAC